UACGAAGGGGGCUAGCGUUGUUCGGAAUUACGUGGGCGUAAAGCGCGUGUAGGCGGGUCUUUAAGUCAGGGGUGAAAUGCCAAGGCUCAACCUUGGAACUGCCUUUGAUACUGGAGAUCUUGAGUCCGGGAGAGGUGAGUGGAACUGCGAGUGUAGAGGUGAAAUUCGUAGAUAUUCGCAAGAACACCAGUGGCGAAGGCGGCUCACUGGCCCGGAACUGACGCUGAGACGCGAAAGCGUGGGGAGCAAAGCAGG
rnacentral:rRNA from 1 species